CCUACGGUGGCAGCAGUGGGGAAUAUUGGACAAUGGGCGAAAGCCUGAUCCAGCCAUGCCGCGUGUGUGAAGAAGGCUUUCGGGUUGUAAAGCACUUUCAGUGGGGAAGAAAGCCUUGGGGCUAAUACCCUCGAGGAAGGACAUCACCCACAGAAGAAGCACCGGCUAACUCCGUGCCAGCAGCCGCGGUAAUACGGAGGGUGCGAGCGUUAAUCGGAAUUACUGGGCGUAAAGCGCGCGUAGGCGGUCUGAUAAGCCGGUUGUGAAAGCCCCGGGCUCAACCUGGGAACGGCAUCCGGAACUGUCAGGCUAGAGUGCAGGAGAGGAAGGUAGAAUUCCCGGUGUAGCGGUGAAAUGCGUAGAGAUCGGGAGGAAUACCAGUGGCGAAGGCGGCCUUCUGGACUGACACUGACGCUGAGGUGCGAAAGCGUGGGUAGCAAACAGGAUUAGAUACCCUUGUAGUC
rnacentral:rRNA from 1 species